rnacentral:rRNA from 1 species
GAUUGAACGCUGGCGGCAUGCUUUACACAUGCAAGUCGAACGGCAGCGCGGGCUUCGGCCUGGCGGCGAGUGGCGAACGGGUGAGUAAUGCAUCGGAACGUGCCCAGUAGUGGGGGAUAGCCCGGCGAAAGCCGGAUUAAUACCGCAUACGACCUGAGGGUGAAAGCGGGGGACCGAAAGGCCUCGCGCUAUUGGAGCGGCCGAUGUCGGAUUAGCUAGUUGGUGGGGUAAAGGCUUACCAAGGCGACGAUCCGUAGCUGGUCUGAGAGGACGACCAGCCACACUGGGACUGAGACACGGCCCAGACUCCUACGGGAGGCAGCAGUGGGGAAUUUUGGACAAUGGGGGCAACCCUGAUCCAGCCAUGCCGCGUGCGGGAAGAAGGCCUUCGGGUUGUAAACCGCUUUUGUUCGGGAAGAAAUACUCUGGGCUAAUACCCCGGGGGGAUGACGGUACCGGAAGAAUAAGCACCGGCUAACUACGUG